UACGGGGGGGGCAAGCGUUGUUCGGAAUUACUGGGCGUAAAGGGUUCGUAGGUGGCUUGUUAAGUCAGACGUGAAAUCCCUCGGCUCAACCGGGGAACUGCGUCUGAGACUGAUGAGCUCGAGUGCAGGAGAGGAACGCGGAAUUCCAGGUGUAGCGGUGAAAUGCGUAGAUAUCUGGGGGAACACCGGUGGCGAAGGCGGCGUUCUGGACUGCAACUGACACUGAGGAACGAAAGCCAGGGGAGCAAACGGG
rnacentral:rRNA from 1 species